GAAACUAAAAAGUGACAAAAAAAAAAAAGAGAAACGCAAGGAAACUGUAAUUGAUUAUAAAAAAUGUAUUAAGAAGGCAAAAAUAAAAAACAGAAUAAAUAAAAAAGAUGAAGAUCAAAAUGAUUUUGAUAUAUCGAUAUUUAUGAAAACUGAUCAUGUGUCCAAUAAGAUACGUCAUUUAAAUUAUGUAAAGCUAGUUAAGAAUAUAAAAAAUAAUAAAUAUUUACUUGGUAGUAAUUUAAAAAAAAUUAUUGAAAUUUAUGGAAUGGGUAUUAUAGACGAAGAUAAACAUAUUCGUAAUUGUGCUUCAAAAAUAUUUUACCAACUAAUAAAUAGUAAUAUAAAUUCUAACAUAAUAUUUAAUAAAAUUAAAACUAGUUUAUUUUAUUCGUUAAAAAUAGAUAAUGAAUCAUUUAAAGUAUUGAAUAUAGAGUUAUGUUAUAAUUUUUAUUUUACAAAAAUAGAAUAUAGUUAUAAAUGCUUUUUUGAAUUUUUAAAAAAUAUAAUUGAUUGUUUUGUUUCACUAUCAAUUGAACAACAGAUUAAAAAUGUAAAGUAUAUAUUUUUAUUAUUUAAAGUCAAAAAUAAGUACAAAAGGGGUUUACAUGGUGCUGUAAGUAAUGAUGGUAGUAUUAGUGGCGGUAGUAGUAACCGAUGUAGUAAUAUGUAUACACUCGAAAUUAAUACAUUAUGUAGUUUUAAAAACGAAAGACGUAACUGUGAUGAAAACGGAAACACACUUAACAAUAAGAGGACCAACACAAUAAACGAUUACAGUAAUAUAAAGUAUGACAUAUCACAUAAUAGUAUAACGAAGAAUUUUAUUAAAGAUAAAAAAUCAAAAAUAGUUAGUACAAACACAAUAAAGAGUAACAUAAAUAUGUAUACUUCUGAAGCACCUAAUAAUGUAAAUGUUGGUACAUCCAAAGAAGCAUGUGAUAAUGAUGACGAUUCAUCAACAUCUUAUUAUUAUAACAAUUACGAAAAAGUAAUUAAAAAUAAUUUAUUAAAUAGUAAAUAUGAUAAAUUUUUAAUAAAAGAAGAAACUAAAAAAAUAGUUAAUUUGGAUAUAAAAAUAGAUAUAUAUACUAAGAUGCUUAAAUGUUUAUAUAAUUUUACAGAAGAAGUAAGAUGUAAUUUAAUUUCUGUUGAUUUAAUACACGUAUAUAAAAAAAUAUUAAAAACAAUUAUUUGUUUAGUAAAUAAAAAGAAGAAUAUAAUGCUAACAGUAGAUAUUAUUUUAUUAAUUAACAAGUUUAUAAAAAAUGUUAUACAAAUAAUUAAUACAAAUUUAAAUAAUUUAGAAAAUUUCAAAAAUUUGAAUUUAAUUUAUUAUUUUAUUGAGUUAAUUAUGUCUAUCUGUUUAAAAGAUAUUUCUUUUUUUCAAGUAUUGAAUAAAAAAAUAUAUAUGGAUUAUUUAUUUUUGCUCCGUUACUGUUUUUCUUUAUAUUUUUAUGUUUUUAUAAGCUGUAAUUUUUUUACGACUGAAUGUGAGGGGAAUAAAAUUAGUGAGAACAGAGAGGUAGCUGUGAUUUGCAUUAAAGAAGGGGACAUGAAGGUAUAUAAAAGGAACAGUUGUAAAGGCGAAAAGCGUAGCGACGUUAAUGGUGACAUUAAUAGUGACGUUAAUAGUGACGUUAAUAGCGGAGUCAACGGUGUUAAAAAUAUAAAUAAUGGUGAUAAAAAUAUAAAUAAUGGUAAUAAAAAUAUAAAUAAUGGUGUUAAAAAUAUAAAUAAUGGUAAUAAAAA
ensembl:lncRNA